rnacentral:rRNA from 1 species
CCGUCAAUUCAAAUGAGUUUGUGGAAUAUUCGAUGCAACGCUUGAACCUUACCUGGUCUUGACAUCCACAGAACUUUCCAGAGAUGGAUUGGUGCCUUCGGGAACUGUGAGACAGGUGCUGCAUGGCUGUCGUCAGCUCGUGUUGUGAAAUGUUGGGUUAAGUCCCGCAACGAGCGCAACCCUUAUCCUUUGUUGCCAGCGGUCCGGCCGGGAACUCAAAGGAGACUGCCAGUGAUAAACUGGAGGAAGGUGGGGAUGACGUCAAGUCAUCAUGGCCCUUACGACCAGGGCUACACACGUGCUACAAUGGCGCAUACAAAGAGAAGCGACCUCGCGAGAGCAAGCGGACCUCAUAAAGUGCGUCGUAGUCCGGAUUGGAGUCUGCAACUCGACUCCAUGAAGUCGGAAUCGCUAGUAAUCGUGGAUCAGAAUGCCACGGUGAAUACGUUCCCGGGACGGGCGGUGUGUAC